rnacentral:rRNA from 1 species
CCUACGGUGUGCAGCAGUGGGGAAUAUUGGACAAUGGGCGAAAGCCUGAUCCAGCCAUGCCGCGUGUGUGAAGAAGGCCUUCGGGUUGUAAAGCACUUUCAGUGGGGAAGAAAGCCUUGGGGCUAAUACCCUCGAGGAAGGACAUCACCCACAGAAGAAGCACCGGCUAACUCCGUGCCAGCAGCCGCGGUAAUACGGAGGGUGCGAGCGUUAAUCGGAAUUACUGGGCGUAAAGCGCGCGUAGGCGGUCUGAUAAGCCGGUUGUGAAAGCCCCGGGCUCAACCUGGGAACGGCAUCCGGAACUGUCAGGCUAGAGUGCAGGAGAGGAAGGUAGAAUUCCCGGUGUAGCGGUGAAAUGCGUAGAGAUCGGGAGGAAUACCAGUGGCGAAGGCGGCCUUCUGGACUGACACUGACGCUGAGGUGCGAAAGCGUGGGUAGCAAACAGGAUUAGAUACCCGUGUAGUC